UUUUUGUAAAAUGGGGUGCAGUUACUGUUACUAAGUAAUUUCUGGCUUACGAACUGAUUCAGACCAUCCUAAACUUGAACUUGUUCAUCACAGCUGCAAGAAACUACUGAAAAAAAAAAAAAAACACUUAUGUGCUUCUCUGUUUCUUUUAUACUCAUACAUGGGGUAGAAGUUUUUUAACCAGUGAUGUCAAAAUGGUCCAUAUUUUACUAGGGAUGAAGAAAGAACAGCUUGCAUGAUACUAUCCAGUUCAGACUGGAGCUCUACCGAGGUCAAAGAGAUAAAAGAGAGAUGUGAAAUGUGGAAAAGUAAAAUGAAAUGUAGUGUCUCAUAAAUGCACACAAGCAUAUUCAACAUCUCCCUGUGUAGCCACAGAUGCUUUUACCCUUGUCAUCUCACAAGGAAAAAGAAAAACUGCUUCUUCAUUAACAUCCUUCUUUUUCUCUAACUGUAGAGUAGACUUCAGAUAGUUAAUACCUAUAUACAGUGAAGAAGUUGAGAAUGAUCAAUUUAGUGUUACAUGAAGAACAUUCCCAAAAUGCACAUUGACCUCUCACUGGCCCUAUUCAUUUCACUUUUCUUUGUCAUCAUAACCUCUGUAACAUCAUAGAAAACUGCACUCAUAUCCUCGUUCUAUGCUCCAAGCAGUUUAGCUUGUAUGAAUUGCACUAUGUUCACUUUUUAAAGUGAAGUAUCUGAUAUUUAAGUUCAUUUUUUAUUAUUAUGCAUUUUAUUUUACUUCUUUCCAUGAUCUUUUAUUGUCUAAAGUCUAGAUUUCUGCCAAGUUUCUGAACUGCACUUGUCAGAGUAUUGCCCACAACUCUGGGAUCCUUUGUUGAAGCUGUAGAAAUAAAAUGAAUAGUAUAAAAGCUUGAUGGCAUCUGUGGAUAGGAAACUCAUUAAAAGCCUCAGGCUUCUGUUUUAUUCCUAACCACAUUGCCCUGUGGGAUUUCAAGGUCUUGCAGGAUGAAACCAGCAGGACUCAUUACUUCUAAAACAAUGUUUAGAGUUCUAUUGGUGGUGGAAUGCUUCUGCCAGUCAGGUAAAAAACCUAGGCCUUUAUCCUUACUGAGACAAUACCGGGCAGCUCAGAAACUGCUUGGAAAAGUCAUGCCUUUGAAUGCAACUGCAGGUGUUGCUCCUCAAAGACUGUUGGUACCCUCCUAUGCACCCUUCAAAGGAAUAAUAGCAAAUUCACUUUGGGAUUCAAAUGAAGUCUAAGAAAAAUUCAAAUAAUAGGAACAAACUUUUGAGACUUCCUACAUUUUUCCCACGAACUUAUGGACCAUGACUAAUACCCUGAGGGCAAAAAAACAUCCUUUUUCCCUCUUACAUAGGAGUAGAAUUCACCAUGUCAGAUAAAUAAGUUUCAUGACCUCACCUUGUUUAAGGCUACCAAGCAAUUACUAGCAAAGGCUACUCACCAAAGUGAGAAGAGAGUAUGGUCCUCUGACUGCUCACAUUAAUUAGAAAUAGACUGAAAUUUAUAUAAUAAAAGAAUAGUUAAAACUGUUAUGAAAUUUCUCCAGAAGAAAUAAAGUCAAAACAUUCAGUAAAAAGUAUUCAGUAGUAUUUUGAGUAAAUUCAUAGCUCAAAUCUUCUUUGUGAUUGAUAUAAUUAUGAAAAUAUUACUGAAUAUGUGAUAGGAAAAAGUAAUGCUCUUGCAAGUGUGGGACUGAGUUAGUACUUAAAGCAGUAUCAUACCUUUGUUAUGUAGAAUUCCUUUUACAGAUUUUCUGAAUAACUUAUCCACACUGAAAAUUUCAACCAUUUUAUAAAAAUGUAAAUUAAUAAUUAAUAUACUUUUACACUGACAUAUUAAUUAAAAUAUUGUAUAUUUAAAUGUUAUUUAAGAAUCCAAGGCAAAACUCCCCUUCAAACUUCCUGAACAUUGAUCUCAAGAAAAAAUAUUUUAAAACAAAAUUAUUUUACCCACAAAUUUUCUUUGUAGAUGAUCCAGACACAUAAAGAUCACAUUUUCCUUAUCUGUAAAACAGCUAGAUAUGAUGAUAGAAGCAGUAAUAAAUGGCAAACAACUAGAUUACUAAAUUACAAACAGCAGAGAUUUUCUCUUUUUGAACAAGUUUGCUAUCAGUGAGCUCAUCACUGCACCAUUUACUGAGUAAGCCGCAGUAUUUAGAAUUGUUAAAUCUAAGGCAUUAGAAAGAUAGACUGUUUUUUGUUUUUUUUCAUCAGUUUUCAAAAUAACUAUUCAACAAAGUGGUGGUAAAGCAUUUUUCUUUCUAUUUGUCUUGUCUUUUUGUUUGCCUACUUCAACUCCAAGAGCUCUCCCAUAAUAUCUCAACAGAUCAAAUAUGUUUGAGUUUUGAAAGCAUUUUGUUUCAAAAUUUAGCAUUCUGUAACAAACUUUAGCAAAAAUUCAGUCUGUAAACUAAAAGAUUGUUUCCUUAGAAUUUACAUCUGUAUUCUCUUAAUACAAAUGGAUCUAAUGUGGCUUAUAUUCUAUGAGGUCAAUUUACUUAGCAUAUGUAGUUCUUUCUUUUACCAACAUUUAAAUUAGAUAUAGGAAACCACAGCAUUAUUUCUGGUAGUAAAUGAGGGGACUGAAGACUAUUGGACAAAAACAAAUGAUGCCCUUCAAAGGAAGAUACAGUUGGGAUCUUUGUGUAAUUGUUUCUGCAUUACUGUUCCCAAAGGACCAGCUGAAGAGAUUACCAACUCUAGACAACUCCCAGAUGUUUGUUGCCAUCCUCUUGCCAAGAAAUGCUGCCUUGUCAGAUCCACUGGUUAAAUUACGUGUGCUAUCAUUUCCUAAUUUAUAUCAAAAUGAGUUUAGUUGGCAAAACAGGUAAGCAAAAAAAAAUCUAUUCUUUUCAUGGUUUAUGCUGGAUCAUUUUAGUAUUCAUAACCUAGAAAAUAAUCUCAGCAGAAGCUUCUGCUCAAAAGCUAAUGGGUUGGCAGCUACUGAAAGCAGUAUGGGGUUGGUUAACUUCAGAUAAUAGUUACAACUAAAAGAGGAGAGAUGCCCACACCAUACAGAUUUAUGUCAGGGUCAAGCAAAAUAUUUGGGCAGCUAUGUAAUCUAAAGCAUGUUGACCAUUCCACUGUUUUAAAUGUAACUACUUAUAAGCUAUUUCUUAAGAUUGCUUUUAUAUUGUUGUAGAAGACACAACCACAUGAUGAGGUUUAUUUCAAUUAAAGUUAUAUAUAUGAAAAUUAGGCAUCUUAUCUGCAUUCAUACUCCCAGUUUGUCCUGCAAUCAGUGGAACAGGUAUCCCCAGGAGGGUAAUUCCAGUCAUUACAACUAAGAUGUAAGCUGCAGUCUGAAGUUCAUCAUGGAGGAGUAUCCUCAUCUAUUAGUACAGGUUGGGGGAUUAUCUGCUCGUGAGGAGCUCUGCAGAGAAGGACAUGAGGAUCCUGGUGGAUGACAGGUUGGCCAUGAGCCAUCAGUGUCCCCUUGUGGCCAAGAAGGCCAGUGGUAUCCUGGGGUGCAUUAAAAAGAGCAUGGCCAGCAGGUAAAGGAAGGUGAUCCUCCCUCUCUACUCUGCCCUUGUGAGGCCAUAUUUAAAAUACAAUUUCCAGUUUUGGGCUCCUGUAAGAGUUUGCUCCUUUUUUGCACCUUCGUCUCAAAGCUUGCUAAAGGCAACACAUGGACAAGUCCAGGCAAAGUUUGAGAAAUCCUUUGUCUGAAGAUUUGCAGGCCAGGGGCAAGGAGAGAGAGAUGAGUAGCAACUUAAUGGCCAAUAAGCAAUCUUUUGUGUGAACUCAUCUCGAGGGAGAUAACUGUACCUGCAUGCUCAUGGAUGCUGCACAUGACUCUUACCUAAGUGCCCAGGAACACCAUGGCAGAAGAAGAUAGAAAAAGGAUCUACAACUGAGUGAUGUCUGAUACCAGAUACCUCAUGAUGUGAUACCUGCCUGCUGCUGGACUUUCCUGGGCCUGCUACCUGAGACCUACCUGUUUCUCCUGGACUCGCUCUUGCUGCACCUGCUUGUUGCCUAAGGCUGGCCGCUCUGCUGCUGCUCUCCUCUGCGCCCUUGCUCCUGUAUUGGCCUUGGACCAUCGGAAUGGUGUGCAAUGGGAUGCUGCUGGAUCUUGGUGAUCUAUCCACCUCAACACUACCAAAUUGUGUAUUCUCUCAAGUCCUUUGUACAUGUCCCAAACACAGAGAUGUAAACAGCAGAUGUAUAAACAGGAGUACCAGUUUCGUGUUAGGAAUUAAACACACAAGACUCCAUCACUUUCCUGUGGGACACUCGUAUACUGCGUAGUCUGAAAUGCAUUAUAGUAACCUGUAUCUUCUGGGAAUUCUCUGUCUCCAUGAACCACGGCAGCAUUGAGUGGAGCAGAAACCGAAUUUCGGCCUUGAGAAAUCAAACUCCCUAGAUAAAGUCAUGAAGAUGCAGGUGUUUUAUGAAUUAUGUCUAAUAUUAAAUAACAGCUAUCAACAAAAUAAUCCGCCCAUGCCUUCUAUUCACCAAAAUAAUAGCAACAUAAAAAUACAUAUCAUAAAGUAGACGACCUCCAACAGUUUCCCUCUACAGCUACGUUAAAUGUACUUAAUCCAGUGUGGAUGGCAACAUAAAGCAACUUUUAUUCAUAUCCCCAUGAUUCUGCUUCACCUCAAUGAAAUGAAUACCGCUUUCAAAGAAAAUUGAAAACCAAAUCAAAACCAAAAAAACCCUACUGUCAUUAUAAUACCUGCAGAGUGAUACCACUAACGGACCUGACUGUUUGUUUCUAAGGAAGAACAGCUGUGCAACAGACUGUCUGAACAGUCACUAUUACAGAAUGCAACAUGGAUCACUGACACAAAGGAAGCACUACACCAGCUGGCUUUCUGUCUUAGAGCAUUUCUAUUCCUAGAUGAUUUACCUGUUCUCAGUCCUGUCACCUUAGCACUUCUACUACCCAAUUAAAAAAUGAUGUUGCUGAAUUCUCUCUGCUGUAAAUUAAAUAUGUUAUUUAUCAGAUCAAACUGCUAUGGUUUUUUUUAAACUUUGCAAUAUAUGACUUAUUUUUAAACUUAGCUGCUUGAUUAUUUAUUUAUGGUAUAUUUUGUUCUCUUGUAGAGUUUAGAUCAGAAAAAUUCUUUUCUAAUGUAUUCACAUGCAGUGAUCUACAUUUCCUAAUCAUAAUCAUGUCAGCAAAAGCGGAGCUGCUCUUAGGAUAACGUUUUAGUCUAGAAAAUGAUUUCCCUUUAAAAUGGAUUCAAUGGACAUGAUGAUAUAAAAAGAAGAUGCAAAAUUACACACAACAGUUUGCAUAAUCAAAACAGAUAUGUUUUGUAUUCAGGGAAGAUUUCUUUUUGCUACAUUAAAUGGAAGAAAAUAAACCUUUUGGAAUUCUGCAAGUGUGCUGUGGAUGUAAAGGC
rnacentral:lncRNA from 1 species